AUGGUUGCGGUUUAUUUUCUUUAAGCCAGCUGUUUAAAUAGUUAGUCAUUCAAAGUCAGUCACUCCAGGCUCUCUCGGAACAGUCAGAGAGGGAAAUGUGCACCUCCAAAGGCCAAAGACCCUAACACUAAGGUCAUGUUGUGUAACAGCCAAGAAUGACAGAGGAAUUGUUCAUUACGAUGUGUCACUAAUGUGAUUGAAGACCUAUUUCCAGCAUCAUCUCUACUAGCAGAGGAGAACUGACUGCAGAAACUCUGACCAGAACAUGCUAGCGAUACAUGACAUUUGGCUUUCUACUUUCAGCUAGAAAGGUCUGACAGAUUAGAUUCUGGAAAAGACCAUAAACUGGAGCAGAAGAGAGCAGCAUCAGAGUGGUUUCCAGUGGUUCAGCUGAGGCGUUGAGGAGAAUGUAACAUAAUAUAACUCACUCAAGACAACAGUAAUCUACACUGUAUCUUCUUUCUCUUCAUCUGAACACCAAAGGAAGGCAACUUCAAAAUCCUUAAUGAGAGAGUAUGAGAUUAAUCAGCUAGGAGACAAAGGCAUUAUGAAAGGGUAAUAUUCAUGUGAUCAACAAAGAUUGCAGAAGCUCAAGUUCCUUUUUUUUUUUUUCCUUUUUUUACUGUAAACUGCAUGAAGGGAGACAAAAAUUGUUAAAUGACAUGGAAGUUUAGUAAUUCUUAUAAUUAUUAUUUGGGAUUUGUUUCUGCAGCUAAUAGCUUCAAGGAUUCAGAAAAUUUUAACAAUCACUUGUGUCCUAAUAUGAGCAGACAAUUCCCUUAAGCUGAAUACUUUACAUAGAAAUCUGGAAGAAAUAUCUGUUAAGUGCAAGGAACUUGGGGAAGGGAACCAAAACCAAGACAAAAAGGAUAAUGGUAAAAGCAUAGGAAACUCAACACAAAAAAGUGAAAACUAUGUGGAGGAGUGUGCAAAAGUUGGAUUGUGAAUGAUUUCUACAAGCCAUGACCCUGGUACAAGUCACUGGAAUGUGAGACACUUAGUGUCUACUUUGCCUGCAUGAAGAUUUUCUAAAACACAACGUCCAGUCACCCAACCCUGUAAUUUUUGACAGGUGCUCCCUCGCACUCUAUGACUACAAACAGUGGAAAUUUUAAUAGCUGUACCCACACUUAACAGUUUCUUUUGCUCUCAGGUUGAUCUUGUUUUAUUUUAAUAUUAGGAACUUGCUGUCAACCAGCUAAGAGCUCAAGGAGUUUCAAUUCUAUGUAAAGUGAAACUGCAGCUUUAGCUGAGUGCUAGUAAAAUGCAAGCCUUCCUUAACUUUAUUUGUUUUUACCUAUGAAAUGUGGGAAGUAAAAUACAGCAAUAACUCCCUUCAGAGAUGGGGGCAGAGUAAAUGGAGAGGAAUUUUCAGAAGUCCAGGAUUUCUGAACUAUAACUUGAUAUUUAGAGGCACAGGGAGUCACUGGUUUACUGAUUUUAAAAGUUCUGUUUCCCUCAGAAAUUGUAUAAAAUCUCUUUUGCCUCCUCUGAAACACAAAGAAACUGAAAGAAGAAAAGUACUUCCUCCUGCAUCAUCAUGUGUUAGGGGAGGACCUACUGGUAAGAACAAAUGUAUAUUACGGCUGCUGUGAGUGAGGAAAAUAAUUUAAAAUAAAGAAGGAGCCCUUAAUUGUCUUAAUCCUUCAUCUAUAAGUUUGGUUGACAGUUGGCUUGUAAUCAGAUCAGUGAACUCACAUUUCCUUUUAUUUUUCCUUUUUCUACAGGAGGUUGCUUUACCUCCUUUGUCAAAAUCAAGAUUCUACUGUAUUUAUUUUAAAUCUUGAUAGUUUACUUACAGUCUUAAAGUCUUGCUGCAAUGUCUUUUCUCUUAUGUGCUGAUCCUCAUUUCAAGAAUAAGGGUACAACUCCAUCUAUUAAUGGUUAAUACAGUGUUCAGUGUAACAUGGCAUAAUUUACCCACAAAAUUAUUCAAGAAAGCCCAGUAGCUUGCUAAGUUUUUGAAAUAUAUAAGUUGAAUAUGAUAUACAUAUUGACUUGAAAUACAUAAGUUGAACUGAUGUUGCUAAUAGUCAUUGCAGAAAUGUAUUUGCAGGCACUAAAAAUAAUCAAAACAAUAAACAGAAGACAGCACUGGAGGAGACUGGCCUACAACAAGGGCAGAGGAAGCACUCAGGGCUUGGUGAGGGAGGGCACACUACCAGAUGUGUUAAGAGCUUACCCAAACUGCCCAGGGUGCUGAGAUAUGGCCAAGGGAGCCACUAAUGCCAUAGAAACAGACACUGCCUUUUCUGAAAGCCCAGGCUGCCCCAGGCUGCCUCAGUACCAGGACCGACUGGUUUACAAUAGGAUA